UUUAUGUUCCCCUUUGAUCAUAAAGCUGCAUCAGCAGUAUUUCAAAGUCACAAAGUCAAAUUUAAUCUGAAACUUUGUUCAUUCACAAUCACAACAUCAAAGAUGUUUCAUGAUGAAAUACUGCAUACAGGUAGAUUAAUGAUGUUGAUGUUUGUACACAUAUACAUUGUAUCAUCACAUCGCUAUCCUCAUUAGCAUGUUUUGGGUGUAACUGAACAAAUAUAAGGAAGUGAAAAAAGGGAACAACUAACUAAGCAGUUUUCUUAUAAUCUGACAGACGGAGUGAAGUGUCAGACGCUGUUCUUCUGAAGUUUAACAACUUUUCUCUCAGGAUCAAAACCAAAAUGAAAAUCCUCCAUUUUCUCUUCUUUGUUUUCUUGUCAGGUGAGGACUGAAUACCUCAUUGUCUCUUUCAUGCUGUUCUUUAUUUAUUUUAAUUUUUUAAGGGAACUUUAUAAAAUGCACAUAUUCACAUUUGAUAUUCAUCUUACUAUUAUUGUUAUUAUCUGACAGAUGCAGCUGUGCUUGUCAAGGCAAAGCUCAAUAUUUGGUCUGCAGCUGAAGGAGGAAAUGCUUCACUUUACUGCCACUUAACUUUACCUGGAAGCACAAAGUUCUUCUGUAAGGAAAAAUGUGAGCGAGCAGAAGAUAUCCUCAUUAAAACAGAUGGAAGCACAGCUCAGAGUGGGAGAUACAGCAUUAAUUAUAAAGAUGGAUCUUCAGGUAAAGGAAUUGUGUCUGUGACCUUCACACACAUGAUCAAGUCUGACUCAGGACUGUACAGGUGUGGUUUGGGAAAAUCUUCUGCUCCGGAUUCAUACUAUGACUUUGAGGUCAGAGUUUCAAAUGAUCUGGAUAAAAACUCUGGUUUUACUCGCACAGAAACUGAGGGAGAAGCAGUCACAUUGGGAUGUUCCAAUACUGUGUAUGGACAGAGGAAGUUCUUUUGUAAGAAUCAGUGUAAGAAUGAAGGGGAGAUCCUCAUUGACACAAGCAAUAACAAAGCUGUGAGUGGCAGAUACAGCAUUGAAUACACAGCAGGAUCUACAUUUGGACUGUAUGUGACCAUCACACAGCUGACCAAGUCAGACACAGGAGCCUACAGGUGUGGUUAUGGAAACCCUCUGUCUCCAGAUUCAUACUACAGUGGCAGUCUUGUUGUCAUUGGUUCAAAUCCACCUACUUCGACAUCACAAGCAACAACUAAAACAACACAAACACCACCAACAACAACAGCACAGAGUCAGAGUUUCACUCCAAGGAUUUCUACGUCUUCAUCAGAUUGUCCUGACUCCUCCUUGGGUCUGGCUGUGUGUGUGUCUCUGAUUGGUGUUUUACUGAUGGCUGUUUUCAUCCUGCUCCUCUACAUUUAUAAGACAAGGAGGAACACUGCACCGAACACCAGAGAAAAUGCAGGCAACAAAAACAUGGAGGUGAGUUUCUGUCACUUGUUUACUUUCUGUCUAUACAGGUUUAUGUGACCACUGAAACCUGACGAUUCAUGCAGUCAGUGUGAUGUUCACAAUGAAGUGUAGUGAAAAAGAAACAUUUUCCACUGAAUGACAGACAAAGUGACAGAAACAUGUUCUAUUCUUCUUUUAGUACUUCUUAUUGUUAUUAUGUUGGUUUUUCUGCAUGUGCAUGUUUUACUUCCCAGACAAACAUCAAGUCACCAACAUUUUAAAGGUGUCAUAUCUAAAUAUGUGAAAGCACAUUUAGUCCUGUCAGUAUUUUGCGCUGAAGCAAAACUGCUGUACUUCUCAUUUUUUACAGCAUGAAACUGAUAAUGCAUAAUGUGUUUGAAACCUCAGCUUUUAUGUUGCUUAUGUUUUAUUUUCAGUUAUCUGGCACAUAUGAGAACUGGGGUCCACCCUCCAAACAUAAAGGCAGUAAGGACCAGGAUCACGUCUACUCUGCAUUGUAAAAGGCACAAGUCUGAAAAUGCUAAAAUGCUAAUGUUCUGAUGCUUUUUUUUUCUCUUUGGGCAAGUUUAAGAUCUUAUAUAAAUUGCUUCACACACAUAUAAACAUAUAUAUGAAUUGAGCUUAUUUUUUACAGUUACUUUCUUUCUAGGUAUUCUUGACUUCUUUCUUUAUCCAUAAGUUUGACUGAAUGAAACAUUCAUGUACCACAUUUAAUAAUAAUGCAAAGUCUGCAAGUGUACUAAGAUUUGUUAUUGCUGGAGAUCAGGAAGAGUUUCUUAUGUUUCCCAUUUUUAUUGACAUAUUUAGCAUUUCACAUAUAUUUAGCAUGGUAGCAAAAAAGCUUCAGUAUGCAACCUUAGCUUUGUAACACUGAGAACAUGCUUAUUACGCUGCAUUAUAAACAAUUGAAAGAGAUCAGUGGAAACAUGUUUUAUUGGCAGAAACAGAAAACCAGAAGCUUUUUUCUAACAUGCAAUAAAUUGUUCAAAAGUUUGCACAAAAGAACACAAGAGGAAUAUCGUCUGGACAUCACAGAUUUGGUACAGCAGCGCUCUGUGGAACUGUAGAUAGUAUUAUAUUGCUAACAGGCCCCUGUGUAACUGCAGGAGCAAAUAAUUCUAACAAAAACAGCAUUACAGGAAAAGGUGCAGAAGUAGCAUUACAUGAGAGAGUGCAAAAGUGGAACACUAACCCGCCAUCUAACACAUCUUGAUAAGUAUAGAUCAAAAAGGAGAACUAGGAAGAGAGCUUGACGCGCUUAGACACCCCACAAACUCACACUCAUAGAAAAUGAGGCAAUGGCAGAGAAACAGAGACAGAGUGGAUGUGCAGAACCAUAAAAGGAGAGAUGAAUUGAUGUGUAAGACCAUAAAAGGAAAAGAUAAGAAUUUCAAAGGACAAGGGAGAUGUUUUGUUUGAAACUGAAUGAAUGGUGCAUGAACGCAGAGUACUGAAUGAGGAACUACAAAGAAGUAUAAAUGUAACAAACUGAGGGAGCGCCCCUCGGAUCAGCAGGAGGCUUUUGCGCUGUGCACAUCCCCCGUGUACAUGGAAGAUUAAAGAAGCUGCUGAACUGAAAAGUCUGUCUUGAGUCUUGUGUUUUGUUUUUUUUACCAGGUCAGAAUCCAAGUAUCGGGGUGACAGCUGGUCGCCAACAGGUCCCCAAGUCGUUUGGUACCGGGCUGCGAGAGUUGAGGCUCGGGUGUGGAAUUUAUGGUUUUCAGGGUUUUUAUCGUUAACUCGGUUUCUCUGGGUCUUUUCCCAUGUUGUAGUUGUGUCUUAUUUUGAAAGAAAUAUUUACACAUUACCAGUGGCGGUCCUAGCCUGUUUGGCACCCUGGGCGAACACUCCUCCCCCCCCCCCCCCCCCCCCCCACACACACACACACACACGAAACGUAUUAAGGAUUGUACAUUAACAUAAAACUGUUGUCGGAACCAUACUGAAUUUCACCAGAGAAAAAUGCGCACACACACACGGAUAUGAAGAGAGAGUAUGCAUAGUAUGCAAACGGCCACCAAACAGCCAUCAUAAUGUGUCAUACAAUGAGAACAGAACAAAUCAACAAUUGACACUGACUAAUCAAUAUUAAAAUCUGUAACAUAGUGUAUUGUUUGGAGUUUAGUCUGUUACUGUUACUGUUUUUAACAUGUCUUCUUGGAGCAAGUGUAACCCACAUAAUUGUGUGGAUGCUGGCGGCAGCUGUUCUAAGACUGGGAGGCCCGGGUUCAAAUCCCACUUAUGGCAACAUUUCUUUCAUUUAACAGUUAAACUUUUUUUUAACUCUUUUCAACACAAAUUUCAGCUUUUUCAGCUGUUUUUAGCAAAAACCUCUUUUCAGCAGAAAUUCUGCUGAUUGAACUCUUUUCAGCAGAAUUUUCACCUCUUUUCAGCCCAAAUUCUGCUUAUUCACCUCUUCUGCAAAAUUUUCAGCCUUUUCACCUCUUAUUAGCACAAAUCUCAGCUGUUUUCAGGAAAAACUCUUUUCAGCAGAAAUUCUGCUGAUUCACC
rnacentral:lncRNA from 1 species